rnacentral:rRNA from 1 species
AAGUCGAACGGAAAUCUUUUAGAUUUUAGUGGCGAACGGGUGAGUAACACGUAAGCAACCUGCCUUUAAGACGAGAAUAACAAUUGGAAACAGUUGCUAAGGCUGGAUAGGAAAUAAAAAGGCAUCUUUUUAUUUUUAAAAGACCUUUUUCGGAAGGUAUGCUUAAAGAGGGGCUUGCGUCACAUUAGUUAGUUGGUAGGGUAAAGGCCUACCAAGACGAUGAUGUGUAGCUGGACUGAGAGGUUGAACAGCCACAUUGGGACUGAGACACGGCCCAAACUCCUACGGGAGGCAGCAGUAGGGAAUUUUCGGCAAUGGAGGAAACUCUGACCGAGCAACGCCGCGUGAACGACGAAGUACUUCGGUAUGUAAAGUUCUUUUAUUGAAGAAGAAACAAUAGUGGAAAAACUAUCUUGACGUUAUUCAAUGAAUAAGCCCCGGCUAACUAUGUGCCAGCAGCCGCGGUAAUACAUAGGGGGCGAGCGUUAUCCGGAAUUAUUGGGCGUAAAGGGUGCGUAGGCGGUUUAAUAAGUCUCUAGUUUAAUUUCAACGCUUAACGUUGUCCUGCUAGAGAAACUGUUUAACUAGAGUGAGAUAGAGGUAAGCGGAAUUCCAUGUGUAGCGGUAAAAUGUGUAAAUAUAUGGAGGAACACCAGAGGCGUAGGCGGCUUACUGGGUCUUUACUGACGCUGAUGCAC